UGGGGGAUAUUGCACAAUGGGCGAAAGCCUGAUGCAGCAACGCCGCGUGAGGGAAGACGGUUUUCGGAUUGUAAACCUCUGUUCUAAGUGACGAAAGAAAUGACGGUAGCUUAGGAGAAAGCCCCGGCUAACUACGUGCCAGCAGCCGCGGUAAUACGUAGGGGGCAAGCGUUGUCCGGAAUUACUGGGUGUAAAGGGAGCGCAGGCGGAGAAGCAAGUCAGUGGUGAAAACGAUGGGCUUAACUCAUCGACUGCCAUUGAAACUGUUUCCCUUGAGUGAAGUAGAGGCAGGCGGAAUUCCGAGUGUAGCGGUGAAAUGCGUAGAUAUUCGGAGGAACACCAGUGGCGAAGGCGGCCUGCUGGGCUUUAACUGACGCUGAGGCUCGAAAGUGUGGGGAGCAAACAGGAUUAGAUACC
rnacentral:rRNA from 1 species